rnacentral:rRNA from 1 species
CACGUAGGGCGCAAGCGUUGUCCGGAAUUAUUGGGCGUAAAGAGCUCGUAGGCGGUCUGUUGCGUCCGCUGUGAAAACUCGGGGCUUAACCCCGAGCCUGCAGUGGAUACGGGCAGACUAGAGGUAGGUAGGGGAGAAUGGAAUUCCUGGUGUAGCGGUGAAAUGCGCAGAUAUCAGGAGGAACACCGGUGGCGAAGGCGGGUUGCUAGGCUGACACUGACGCUGAUGCGCGAAAGCCAGGGGAGCAAACGGG